UAGUCCACGCUGUAAACGAUGAGAACUUGGUGUUGGGCGGGUAGCUGCUCAGUGCCGAAGCAAACGCGAUAAGUUCUCCGCCUGGGGAGUACGGCCGCAAGGUUGAAACUCAAAGGAAUUGACGGGGGCCCGCACAAGCGGUGGAGCAUGUGGUUUAAUUCGAUGCAACGCGAAGAACCUUACCUGCCCUUGACAUCUUCGGAACCUCUCAGAGAUGAGAGGGUGCCUUCGGGAACCGGAUGACAGGUGCUGCAUGGCUGUCGUCAGCUCGUGUUGUGAAAUGUUGGGUUAAGUCUCGCAACGAGCGCAACCCCUAUCUUUAGUUGCCAGCAUUAAGUUGGGCACUCUAGAGAGACUGCCCGGGUUAACCGGGAGGAAGGUGGGGAUGACGUCAAGUCCUCAUGGCCCUUAUGCCUAGGGCUACACACGUAAUACAAUGGUGCAUACAGAGGGAAGCGAUCGGGUGACCGUUAGCAAAUCUCAAAAAGUGCAUCUCAGUCCGGA
rnacentral:rRNA from 1 species